rnacentral:tRNA from 1 species
GCCUGGGUGGCUCAGUCGGUUAAGUGUCUGACUUCGGCUCAGGUCAUGAACUCAGGUUCGUGGGUUCGAGCCCCACGUCAGGCU